UAGGGAAUCUUCGGCAAUGGACGAAAGUCUGACCGAGCAACGCCGCGUGAGUGAAGAAGGUUUUCGGAUCGUAAAACUCUGUUGUUAGAGAAGAACAAGGACGUUAGUAACUGAACGUCCCCUGACGGUAUCUAACCAGAAAGCCACGGCUAACUACGUGCCAGCAGCCGCGGUAAUACGUAGGUGGCAAGCGUUGUCCGGAUUUAUUGGCGUAAAGCGAGCGCAGGCGGUUUCUUAAGUCUGAUGUGAAAGCCCCCGGCUCAACCGGGGAGGGUCAUUGGAAACUGGGAGACUUGAGUACAGAAGAGGAGAGUGGAAUUCCAUGUGUAGCGGUGAAAUGCGUAGAUAUAUGGAGGAACACCAGUGGCGAAGGCGGCUCUCUGGUCUGUAACUGACGCUGAGGCUCGAAAGCGUGGGGAGCAAACAGG
rnacentral:rRNA from 1 species